AGAGUUUGAUCAUGGCUCAGAUUGAACGCUGGCGGCAUGCCUUACACAUGCAAGUCGAACGGUAACGGGCCUUCGGGUGCCGACGAGUGGCGAACGGGUGAGUAAUGCAUCGGAACGUACCUUUCAGUGGGGAUAACGUAGCGAAAGUUACGCUAAUACCGCGUAUUCUGUGAGCAGGAAAGCAGGGGAUCGCAAGACCUUGCGCUGAUUGAGCGGCCGAUGUCAGAUUAGCUAGUUGGUGAGGUAAAGGCUCACCAAGGCGACGAUCUGUAGCGGGUCUGAGAGGAUGAUCCGCCACACUGGAACUGAGACACGGUCCAGACUCCUACGGGAGGCAGCAGUGGGGAAUUUUGGACAAUGGGGGCAACCCUGAUCCAGCCAUGCCGCGUGAGUGAAGAAGGCCUUCGGGUUGUAAAGCUCUUUCGGCCGGGAAGAAAUCGCAUGGGUUAAUACCCUGUGCGGAUGACGGUACCGGCAUAAGAAGCACCGGCUAACUACGUG
rnacentral:rRNA from 1 species